GUUUCCUCUCUUGGCCUUGGAGACCCUUUCCCUCUGUCUCCGUACAGGGAAGCUUCUUCCUUCUUUCUUUUUUCUUGCCUAUUAAACUCUCUGCUCCUUGAAACUACUCCACGUGUAUCUGUCAUUUUAUGCAAUUCAGCCUAAGACAAGAGCCCUGGUGUUCCUCCACUCAUUGAAGUCGUAUCAUUUCUUUUUCUUUUUCUUUCUUUCUUUCUUUUUUUUUUUUUUUUUUUUUUUGAGUCAGCGUCUUCGUCUUUCACUCAGGCUGGAGAGUAGUGGCACAAUCAUAUCACAGCUCACUGCAGACUCGACCUCCUGGGCUCAAGCAAUCCUCCCACCUCAGCUUCCCAAGUAGCUGGGACCACAGGCAUGCUCCAUCAUGCUUGGCUAAUUUUUGUAUAAUUUUAUUUUAUUUUUAUUUUUUUUUUUUUGGAGAGAUGAGGUUUCGCCAUGUUUCUCAGGCUGCACUCACACUCCUAUGCUCAAGCAAUCUGCCGGCUUCAGCCUCCCAAAGUGCUGGGAUUACAGGUCUGCACCACACACCUGGCCUUGGAUUUAUUUCUUUUAGUCCAAAUACUCCUUUAAUAUUUCUGCAGUCUUAUAAUUACAAUAUCUGAUCAGGAAGUGAGUCUCCUUUCAUUAAUGUUGUGUGAACUCUCUUUAAAUCAAUUAAUGUAAACAGUAUAUUUUCCAGGAGAGUAAAUUUUUCUUAAAUUGUAUACUUGAUUUUAGUUUCUGUUUCAAGUUUUGUAAUUUGAUUCUUUUUCAGAAAUACCUAUAGAGAAUCAAAUCUUUCUUUUUUCUCCCACAGAUACCAUCUUCUCUUUGAUAGCUUUCAUGUUUUGUACUUUUCAACUUUUUUUUCUAUAUUCUAGGAUGGUUUCUCAAAUUCUCUGAUGUGUUCAUUUUGUUUUGCUAUUUCGAAUAUGGAUUUAGUUUAGGUGCAUAUUUUAGCUCCUCUACAAUGUUUCUUUUUUUUUUUUACUCUACCAGUCUCUAAAAAUCUAUUUCCAUUUCUUUAAUAGGUCAUUUAAGGGAUCUGCAUUCCUUUAAGUGUGUUGUUGAUAUGGUAAUUGGGUCAUGGGGGUGGUUUCCCCACCCUGUUCUCAUGAUAAUGAGUGAGUCUCAGGAGAUCUGAUGGUUUUGUAAGUGUCUGGCAUUUCCCCUGCUUGCACUCAUUCCAUCCUGCCCCCUGUGAAGAAGGUGCCUUUUUCUCCUUUGCCUGCUGCCAGGAUUCUAAGUUUCCUGAGGCCCCACCCAGCAAUGCAGAACUAGUAGUAUCCUGAGAAGAAGAGGAAGCAACCAGAGUUCUCCCUCUGCCAUGUGAGAAGACAGUAGAAUGUGGCUGUCUGUAGCCAGAAAGAGAGACUUAUCGAGAACUAAAUUGGCUGGCACCUUAUUCUUGGACUUCCCAGCCUUCAGAUCUGUGAGAAAUAAACAUCUGUUGUUGAAGUCACCCAGUCUAUGGUGUUUCGUUAUAGUAACUGGAGAAGUCUAAGAGAAUACAGCAAAAUGGUUUGAAUAUGUUUUAAUUCUACAAUUAAAAUGUUGGAAGAAAAGAAGUGUGGUAUAAUUCACAUUUAAAAAAUUAUAUUCAAUUUAUUUUUUGGAAAGUAUAUUUAUGUUUAUCUUUCAGACUCUGGUAAUGACUGCCAGGUCUCAGUCUUCAGUUUGAAGUUCUCACUGAGCUUCACACCUUUGUCCCUGUCUGUUGUAUUUACUUCUUUGGAUAAAACGUCCCCAUUAUGUAUGGUAGGUUAAGAAAAAAAAAAUCCCUUCUUCAUUUCUUUUCACAGGCAUUACUGUCCACCAGCCAUCUAGGCUUGAGAACUUGGAGACCUCCAUGGAAAAGUCUUGCUCC
rnacentral:lncRNA from 1 species